UUAGACGGUGGUGGGUGUUUUUAAUGGAGAGUGCGGUUAGAUUGAAGCCUUAAGUCAUAGCCACACCAGCGCCGGCCUUGACCACGUUGACUUGGCUGAGUGCCGUCGCCAAAGCCGGUAAAGCCUUUGCUGAGGACGCUGCUGUGGGGCUGUUCAUUCAUACAAUAAUGAGAGGAAAGAAUUCGGCUUCGAAUCGGUAUGUUAGGGAUGUGCUCUGGGCUACCAGUACCAGAGGAGACUAUCCUCGCGGUUCUAAGAUUGGAGGAAAGAAGGUUGGUAUUGUUGGGUUGGGCAACAUUGGGGCACAAAGAUUGGAGGCAUUUGGUCUUGUACAAUUCGAGGAGCGAAAAGCCGUCUUUGUCGUACCAAUUCUAUUCCAAUGUGUGUGAGCUUGCAGCAUACAGUGAUACCCGGCCUCAUCAUCUGUUGUGCAUUGACAGAGAGCAAACCCACCACAUGAUCAACAAGGAACUUGUCUCUGCGUUGGGAAGACAGGGCGUGAUUGUUAAUCUAGGGUGUGGAGCCAUUAUUGAUGAGAAGGAAAUAGUGCAGUGUUUGGUGCGAGAGGAGAGAUAGUGGAUGCUGGCUCGGAUGUGUUUGAGAAUGAGCCUGAUGUUCCUAAACAGCUCUUUGCAUUGCAUCAUAUGUACUGUACGUCACUGCAGCAAGCUGUUCUUACACAUGAAGCUUUUGUGGGUUUGGCUGCAUUAGUAACAGGGAAUUUGGAAGCAUUCUUCUCAAACAACCGUUGCACAUGAAGCAUUCUUCUCAAGCAUUCUUCUUACACAUGAAGCAUGUUGAAAUGGGUACCGAUCUCAUUGAUCAUUUGACUCCAGAGGAGAAGGAUCUUCUCUCAAGAUUGAACCCUGAAAUAGCAGAUCUUAAAGUGAAGCUUAUUACAUGCAAGGCGGAUCGAACUGAAACUGAAGCAAGAAAGACAAAGCUUGAGACUAAUUUAACUACGAACCUUAAGAGGCGAAAGCAAGAACUAGAGGCAAUAAUAUCUUCCGUGAAAACUGAUAAUUUGCAUGGUGAAGAUGAAAUAAAGAUUCGGGAACUGAAUGAUGCUAGAUUAUUGGUUGAAGAUGCAACGGAGCAGCUCAGAAUUGCCAUUUUUAAAAGUUGUUUUCAUGCUCCUGUUUGUUAACAUAUGACUUUUGCUCAUCAGGAGUUUCUGAAAGUAUUGAUGGUCAGUCGAGGCAAUUGGGGAAAACUAAGGAUGAAAAGACCAAGUUGAAGGUAGUCCUUCAGAAACAUGUUAGAUUGUAAGUGAAUGCUUUAUCUUCUAAGAUGACCACUUAUGAAUGCAGAACCUGGAAGACAACUAUGAGAGGACACUUCAGGAUGAAGCCAAACAGCUGGAGCAGCUACUGAGUAAAAGAAAUAUGUAUCCUGCUAAACAAGAAGAGUACUCAAAGGAAGUCAGAGAACUGGGUGCAUUGUCAUCGGAUGCUUUUGAAACGUAUUACUUAUGUUCAUACUUUGAAUUAUCUUCUAGCUACAUAUUGUAUGUAUAUUGCCAAAUUCAUUAGAACUCAUGCCAAAGCUUCUAGAAGGCUUUGUCCUAUUAACGUUCAUAUACAUACUAUAUUAUA